AUUAAUCUGGCAGAUAAGUGUAUUAGAUUUAGAAUCUAAGGAUGGGAAUAAUAAGUUUCUCGGUUAGUG